rnacentral:rRNA from 1 species
GACGAACGCUGGCGGCGUGCUUAACACAUGCAAGUCGAACGGAGAAUUUAUUUCGGCAAAUUCUUAGUGGCGAACGGGUGAGUAACGCGUGGGCAACCUGCCCUUCAGAUGGGGACAACAUCCCGAAAGGGGUGCUAAUACCGAACACGAUCACGCUGCCGCAUGGCGGUGUGAUGAAAGUUGGCCUCUAUUUAUAAGCUAUCGCUGAAGGAUGGGCCUGCGUCUGAUUAGCUAGUUGGUGGGGUAACGGCCUACCAAGGCGAUGAUCAGUAGCCGGUCUGAGAGGAUGAACGGCCACAUUGGGACUGAGACACGGCCCAAACUCCUACGGGAGGCAGCAGUGGGGAAUAUUCCGCAAUGGACGAAAGUCUGACGGAGCAACGCCGCGUGAGUGAUGAAGGUUUUCGGACUGUAAAACUCUGUUGUUUAGGACGAAAGUGCCUGUUGCAAACAGUUGCAGGUAUUGACGGUACUGAACGAGGAAGCCACGGCUAACUACGUGCCAGCAGCCGCGGUAAAAC